GAUGAACGCUGGCGGCGUGCCUAAUACAUGCAAGUCGAGCGAACAGACGAGGAGCUUGCUCCUUUGACGUUAGCGGCGGACGGGUGAGUAACACGUGGGUAACCUACCUAUAAGACUGGGAUAACUUCGGGAAACCGGAGCUAAUACCGGAUAAUAUUUCGAACCGCAUGGUUCGAUAGUGAAAGAAGGCUUUGCUAUCACUUAUAGAUGGACCUGCGCCGUAUUAGCUAGUUGGUAAGGUAACGGCUUACCAAGGCAACGAUACGUAGCCGACCUGAGAGGGUGAUCGGCCACACUGGAACUGAGACACGGUCCAGACUCCUACGGGAGGCAGCAGUAGGGAAUCUUCCGCAAUGGGCGAAAGCCUGACGGAGCAACGCCGCGUGAGUGAUGAAGGUCUUCGGAUCGUAAAACUCUGUUAUUAGGGAAGAACAAACGUGUAAGUAACUGUGCACGUCUUGACGGUACCUAAUCAGAAAGCCACGGCUAACUACGUG
rnacentral:rRNA from 1 species